rnacentral:rRNA from 1 species
CCUACGGUAGGCAGCAGUAGGGAAUUUUUCACAAUGGGGGAAACCCUGAUGCAGCGACGCCGCGUGUGGGAAGACGGUCCUCUGGAUUGUAAACCACUGUCCCCAGGGACGAAGAUGACGGUACCUGGGGAGGAAGCUCCGGCUAACUACGUGCCAGCAGCCGCGGUAAUACGUAGGGAGCAAGCGUUGUCCGGAAUUACUGGGUGUAAAGGGAGCGUAGGCGGGAUGGCAAGUUGGGUGUUAAAUCUACGGGCUCAACUGGUAGUCGCACUCAAAACUGCUAUUCUUGAGUGAAGUAGAGGCAGGCGGAAUUCCUAGUGUAGCGGUGAAAUGCGUAGAUAUUAGGAGGAACACCAGUGGCGAAGGCGGCCUGCUGGGCUUGUACUGACGCUGAGGCUCGAAAGUGUGGGGAGCAAACAGGAUUAGAUACCCGGGUAGUC